GUCGGAGGUAACGAUGCUUAAGAACAAGGAUGGAGGAGGUGUGUAAAACCUGCGGUGAAAGUAAAGAUUACGUACAUCCGGAGAUUAGGGUUAGGGUUUUUGUUACGCCGAAAACGGGUGGUGUACAUAUUCUUUACCUCCGCCAAACCUGCCACACGGUCCUUUUUAAAUCAUCAGUGAAGCUCGGUCCCCCACUACCACAAAUGGGUAUUUCACCUAUUCUGAUCAGUGAAACUGAAAAUGCCUUCAAACUGAUGGAAACAAAGUUCCUGGGAAAGAUGGCUUUACACUAAAGAUGUUAAGAUGCAAAGGUGAAGAGCUGCGGAAAAGCCUUGUUCUAUGCCUCAAUCGCCAUCUAAAAAAGGGUAAAAUAGCCUCAGAGUGGAAAGCGUCAAAUACCAUCCUGCUUCAUAACAAGGGUGACAAAGAAGAUUCGAAAAGCUAUCGCCGCUUGUCUCACUCUUAUAAGGUGUCUACUUAUAGACCGCUGUGUCCACCUGUUAACAGCAGUCUGACUGGUAUUUCAAAUUUAGCGGUUUAAGUUUAAGCAACUCACACAGCCGUUAAGUUCAGCCCUCGAAAUGACACGCUAGAAACUGUCGAAAACGUAACAACACAGUAAUUGCUACCCUACAUACCCACCACCCGUCCCAGUGUAUUUACCAUUACUAGUUCAGUGUCCGGUUUGUAUCAGCACCGAUAGAUGCAUGAUCACGCUGACCUAUGAGGUGAAAAAAAAAAUAAAGAUGUCAACAAAAUAUAUAUUCUGUAAAGUUCGUAAAAUGGAUUAACAUCUUCUUCACAGAGAGACAUGAGAACCUUUUUAAACGAUGAUAAAUUUACAACCCAUCAGCUAACUACACAUGAUGUGUUCUACUUUAUCAAGUAGAAUCGACAGAUUAAAGCACCCAGAGAACAACAGAAAUUAAAUCGGAUCUGUUGUGUACAAUAUUCACUUCAGGUGUGUAGAGCAGAGACAUUUCUUAAUUUGUCCGUUUUCCUCUCUUACAAUUUAAUAUUUUCAAUGCUGACUCAGAAUCCUUUAGGUUUCUCUAUACACACACACACACACACGUUAUGACUCACGUUACCAACACCGCACACCCACGUCUUGGUUUCGCUUCCCUCCUACGAUCACAACAUUAACGCUGACUGAGUCACCCUGUCAACUUGUAGUUAGAACUACCUUCGGUGUCCACAGUUAACUACACAUACAUCAGCUAUACCAUUUGGCAUACAUUAUAUAGAUAGACAGAGAGAGAAAAUAAUAUCUGUUAUAAGUUAUACAUUAAUACACAUUAUAUACGAUAUAUACAUCUAUUAUAUAUGUAGGUAUGCCACAUGUGUGUGCGAUCGAGUAUGUAAGGCCGCAGUCCUAUAACUGAAACCAUUAAAAGAAUAAAUAUAUAUAUAUAUAAAGUCUAUACAUGAAAUUUUCCAAGUUAUACACGUGAACACAAACAAGACAUACACACUACACAGUAAGCUGUACUCCACUGCCAUUAAAAUAUAUCAGUCACAGACUACUUUUUAUAUCAACACACAUCACCAGCCAACGAAGGAGAACUCAAUACGCAGUCACUCGACCUGUUAGAAAUGACAGCCAAACUGCCUUCAAAUCAUAUCCCGCCAUUAAAAAAGAAAGAAAUGGUAUGGUUGACCAUUAGCUAUGUUCGAUCAGGUUUGAUCCGAAAAUUGAAAAAAAAAUUCAAAUUUCAGAAAGUGUUAUCUGAUGGAUUUCUUUUUUUAUUUAAAAAAAAGGGAGACAAAACACUGGCUAAUAAUAAUAAUAAUCCCCAUUAAAAGAAAUCAAUUUAGCUUUACAGGUAUUAAAUGCUCCCAAAAUACUGAUUAUAUUUGAUCCCACAUGAAACUGCGUUCUUGAGAUAAACAGUUUGUUGAAGGUCUCCAGAGAUGUAGACUUGAGAUGUUUGUGUUUGGCGUGUUUACUCGGGAAUUCCAGCGCUUCUACCUUCGUCAACACGUUACUGAAAUAUAUGCUACAAUACAUAUAUAUUGAUAGUAUUUACAUAAACACUCAGCUGUUAAUUUAUAAGAUUACGCUUGUUGGUAAUUGAGCAAGAGCCUUUUUUUUUUUUCUUUUACACUAUACAACGUGUCCUUCCUACUUUGAAACAGCAGAGCCCGAGUGGAAGAUCUGGAUUCCAUUUCUAGCAGGUCGCAUGACCCGCAUAGAGGUUUCCCAAUUGGUAAGAUAGGCACAGAGAUGACCGAGAUGGUUGAGAAGCUCGCUUCGCAGUGGGUCUCACAUUCGAUCUCAUUGCGUGACAUAGUCAGCAUGUGUCUCUUACCGUGGUCUAAAGUUCACCUAAGCCUUGUGAAUGAAAACUGGGUACACCAACCGCAGAAGUCAAAUGGACUGUACCACUAACUCAAAGGGCCAGCUUCGUCAGGCUAAUUCUAUCUGAGAAUUAAGGAUACUAGUGUUUAAGCAAUCCUAGGUCACUUAUACGAAUUCAGUAAUUCACCUGAUCGAACAACGGCAAUGUAUAAUCAUUGAAACAGAGAUCCAGACAGAUAAUAGGUAGAUAGAGAGAUGAAAGAAGGUAUAAGAAUAGGUAAAAGAGAGAGCCUCCAUAGCAGAAUCUCCAAGUAAUCUCAAAUAACCUAAGAUCCAUCAGUUCAGAACUAAUCUAGGUGUGUGAAAAAUUAAUUUAGAAAAGCCAUGAUGAAAGUAUUGAGGCUACUAAACAAGCAGAGAGGGACAUCACACGCAUAAGGGUUUUUAGGUUUGAUGGAAGAAAAGUUUAGUGGUAAUUUACAAUUCCUUUUCGCCUGUUUUUGUUGUUACAUUAUAUAUAUAUAUACACACUAUCAACAACAUAAUGAUAUUCUGAGGAAUAGAAAGAAUUACGACAGCAACUGGUUGGAGAUUAACAGAUGUGAUGACUGGAAAUGUAUUAGUUUAACAUACCAUCAGUAAGGGAAAGAAAAAAAAACACCGAUAAAAUAUAUACACCAUGUAUGCACACUGCAUACACAUAUAAAUACAUACAUAUAUUAGACAUAGUAUUGGAUACAAUCAGUUUGUGAGGGGGGAAAAAAAAGACACUGAAGUAAAAUAUGCGCAAAAAAAGAAAAGGAAACUAUUCUGAAAUGUUAAGUUGGUAAGGAUAUUUUCAUAGAUGCUGGGUUAUUUUGUUCAGCCAGGAGCUGAUAUUUGAUUGCAUUGACUCCACAUUAGCAACCAAUACAAACAAAUGUAAGGAAGCAGAGACGUAAGAAUUAAAAUAAAUAAUAUAAUAUAAAAAUAAAAUAAAGAAAUCGCCAACAAGAAGACAACCUGUGCCGUGAGAUGUAAUGCUAACAGUGAUAUAGUAAUAAUAAUAAUGGCUUCUAAUAAUUCAUAACAAAACUAACACCGACGACAAUAAUAACGAUAAUGUACGGUAAUAACAAGAACAACAAUAAUAAUUAUAACAGCAGCAGCACUAUAAGAAUAAAGAAUAAUAAUGAUGAUAGUGGUGGUGAUGAUAACAGCAAUACUAUCAACAAAAACGGUCGAAGACGUCGACAGUUUCUGUCGACUUCGUCAGAGGCAAAUAGCUGGCCUGUCAUCAGUUUCCAUUAAAAGCCCGACAGCCAACUGGUCUCCAUGUCGAACACCCUUCCGCUGCUUCAACAUUGCUAAGCCAACACAAGACGAGCAAAGGAAACAGGAUGGCAAAAGAGCCAUUUAGCUCAGUUUCCUCUUUACUUUCCCGACCUUUUGCAACAAGAAGAUUUUAAAGAGAAGAAUAUUAUCUUUCUUGGAAGAGAGACAUCAAAGCCAAAGUGGGCAGUGAGGAAUGUCAUCGUUAUUUUGAUUCCAAGUAUUAUGAACAGUAUGAGUGGAUGAUAGGAUGUCCCAUUCUGAACAAAUUGUUCUGUUUUCCAUGUCUGUUAUUUUGUCAACAUAAUAACACUUGGACAACUACCGGCUACUGUGAUUUGAACAAUUUGACAAGACACCAAAAAUCUCAAAAUCAUCUGAAUUCCAUAAUUGCUCUGAAAACCUUUGGCCGACAGCAAAUUGAUACAACAAUCGAUCACUUGAAAGCAGAUUCAAUUCAGUUGCAUAAUAGAUCAGUCAAGAAAAAGCGUGAAAUAUUGAAACGGUUAAUUCAUUGUAUUGAAAUUUUGCUUAUUAAGAAUUUUCAUUUCAAGAAUACAAUCAAACAGAAGAACCAAACAAUGAGGACAAUUUGCUGGCUAUGUGUGAAGCAGUAGCAGAAUAUGAUAGUUGUUUAAGAUUGCAUCUAGAUUUCAAGAGGGAAAAUGCCAACUGCACAUUUUCUGGACUUUCAAAUAAUAUUCAAAACAAGAUAAUUAAUUGUAUAUCUGCUACAAUUGAAGAUGAAAUUAAGGCAAUGAUAAAAAAAAAAAAAAACCCCGACUACAGGCCUUCAAAUGAGAUCUCAAUUGUCAUGUGUUUUACAAUUUGUUGAUGAGAAAGAAAAGCCUCAAGAAAGGUUUUUAGCAUAUGUCAAUGUCAACAAAAUUAGAAGAGUUGCAUCAUUGACAGAAGAAGUUUGAAAAUUUGGUAAUAAAUUCAACUGUGGCCAAAAAUUUAUUGCACAAGCUUAUGAUGGAGCGAGCGUGAUGGCUGGGCAUUUGAAUGUCAUAUUUGUACAUUGUUAUACACAUUCACUUAAUUUAGUGCUCUCACAGUCAGCUUCAAAUAUUCAUGAAUGUCAAAUUUUCUUCCAAACUUUAAAAGGAAUUUCAACUUUUCCACCAGGUUGACAGAUCAAAGAGUACUACUGGAUGAAAUCAUUAGAAGGCAAUUUCCAAAGUUACCUGAGACAUGGAAUUCUUCAUCUUGACAAGUAUCUAUUUUGUCCAACAAAAUUACUGAGUUUUCUGAGCUAUUUUCAACUAUAUUAGAAAAUCAUGGUUUUGAAACCAUAUUGAGUAACUCAGUGAUUCUGUUUUCAAUUCUUCAAGAAUAUUCACUUGAUUUUUGGAGGUGUAUUCGUGAGAUUGAAAACUUCAAAAAGCUGUUAGUUGAUAUCAAGAACAAGUUUGAGGAAUUUUACAGACUGGUUCUGGAUGGUGUCACUGAACCACCAGAGAAGCGUUGUCAGCAUCAAGAAACCGACACUGUUUUAAGGACUUUGUUUAACAGAAUUUUGAGUGAAGUUAUUGUUCAUGUUAAGCAAAGAUUUGAAACAAUGGAAGAGUUCAGGUUUGUUGAAUUGUUGAAUCCAAAGCCUUUUCACAAUUAUGAAAAAAAACUUUCUGGUGGAAGCGUUUUCAUCUUUGGAUGUCUAUAAAAACAUAUUUGAUUUGAAUGGAUUGAAAUGUGAACUGAAAUCAGUUUAUGCUGCAGAUUUUGCAAAGCAAGUGUCAAGCAUCCAAGAAAUCACAGAUAUGAUACAGGAACUUGAACUACACCAAGCUCUGGCCAGAAUAACAAAAUUAUUACAUCUGAUUCUGACCAUACCUGCCACAUUUGCUUCCUGUGAAAGAUCAUUUUAUUCGUUAAAGCAAGUAAAUAAUCAUAUGAGGUAUUCACAAACUGAAGGGAGAUUAAAUAAUUCAGUCUUUAGUUCAUGAAUAAAGACCUUUUGAAAAAGAUGAAGUUAGAGUGUGGUACUGAUACAGUUUAUAGCAAAGUGAUUGAUGAAUUUGCCAAAAAGAAAUGAAAAAUUGAGCUGAUUUACAAAUAAAUUUUAAAUAUCUCAUUAUAUACAGCUUCUAUUUUUUUCACAGAUAUCUUUUGUAACCAGUAAUGGUCAUCAUGGCCAGUGCCAAAAUUUUCUUAAUGGAGAGAUAUCAACUCCAAUGGAAAGGGUUAACAAGCCUAAAGCAUGGCUUGUUGGUAGAAAUGCAUUUUCUCUCAUUAAAAUUAGUUCAUAUCAUAUUUACAAAGGGGAGAGUGGAAUAAUUUUCCAGGGCAGGGGUAAGGCUCCUCUACCCCAUGCUCUCUGCCUUGGUGAUUGACCUCAUCAUUGACUGCAUGCCCUGGUUUUCAAGUCACUUUUCACCACUGAUGACUUGAGAGGAUAUAUUUCAGCCGCAAAAUCCCAUCUUUAGAAGAAAAGAACAGCCUAAGAAAAAUCCAGUUAUGUAGUUUCUUUUAGUCUAUUCAAAUUCCCUAGCGUUUUGUAACAGCAGCAGUCACACUCCAAAUGUAGGUAUAAUCAACAUUCCAUGUGUUGGUCUAAACAAAUAUACAAACAUUAUAAUAAUGCUGACCUACUAUCAAGCUGUGUCACUUGUCUAAACCUUUUUGCACAGUCUCUGCUUUUCUGAUCUUGAUGGAAUUCAUCUCUCUUCCAUCUUGAAGACACACUUCUUGCUUUCAUCACUGCUCACUUAGUCAUAACUUUCAUACCCUUAUACUAAACACCCUUCUAGUCCUUCUUCCCCACUAUUUGUAUCUUCCUAUUAGAAUUCUGUUACACGCCAUUUGCCUGCAACAGUUUACACUUAUCAUCAACAUCCCCUUCAGUCAAUCUAUCACUUGUUUUAUUAAGGUGAAUUAUGAAAAGUUGAAUGCCUAUAGGCAAGAAUCUGAGAUGUGAAAACACGGUCGAUUGCUUCAACAGCUUAAGGAUGAGAUGUUUAAUUCUUAUUAGAAACAUUCUUGGUUCCAGUAAGACCCAAAUUGCAUUCUCUUAUUUAGGCUUAUUCAAGAUGUCCCAAAACUGUACUUACACAAAUUUAUAGCCUAUAACUCACUUAAUACUUCUGUUUCCGGUGUAGUCAUUUAUAAAUAUUUGGGUCCACUCAUAGUUACCCUCCAGGUAGUUGGCCUUGAGUCAUGGCAAGCAAGACAUGGCACGUCAGCAUCUUGUAGUAGGUGUCAGCGCCCACCAUUUCUCUGGGCUUGUAAAUGAGCACCUUUCUUCCGUCUGAGGCCAUGACCUGGACUGGAUGUUUUGUUCUGAAGGUGCACAUAACAAGCUCUAAGAAAGCAUACUGUUACUGGAAAUGCGUAGAUGUUUUUGAAAAGAAUUUGAAACAGAUCCACCUAUGAAACUAAUCAGUGUCUAUCUUAGACAUACAGUUCACAACGAAAGGAACUGUUCAAGAGAGUUUUAUUCCAACAUUAGACCAUACUCUCCUGACUAUAGAAUAGAAUUUUGUGACUGGGUCACUGAUAAUUAUCCUUCCACCCCUUCACAUUAACCUUGGCCUCAAGAAAAACUUUGUAAAAGCAAUGACACACAAUGGUUGUAGCUUUCAGUACCUAAAAGUAAAAUUUGGUGCAGAGAAAAGUGAUGCAAAACUGAAAGCAGGCAUUUUCAUUGGACUUGAGAUCAGAGAAUUGAUGUCUGAUAGCAAAUUCAGAGGUAAACUGAAUCCAGUUGAGUUGAUGGCAUGCGAUUCCUUCGUGUUAGUUGUACAGAACUUUCUUGAAAAUUAUGCUGAUUUAAUAAACAAUAUGCUUACAGCAUAUGAAAGAAUAAGAUGCCGAGUGUCUCUUAAAAUGCACUUCUUGCAUUCUCUUCUCAAUUUUUUUCCAACAAAUCUUGGUUCUGUUAGUAAUGUGCAUGGUGAGCAGUUCAACCAGGACAUAUCUGAGAUGGAAACAAGGUAUCAAGGCCAGUUCAAUCCAUACAUGAUGGAUGACUACUGCUGGUUCCUACAACAGGACACCAAUACGACACAUAAGUGCAAGAGCAAGUGUCUCAAACAUUUCUGAGUUGAGCAUAUCAAAAAUAAAAUGAGUAUUCCCUUAACAUAAAUAUACUAUGUACCAUUGUAUUAUAAUACUAUUUGCCUUGAACAUAAAUAUACUAUAUACAACACUAAUAUACUAUUAUAAUAAUUAUUUACCUUAAACUUAACCAUUCCUGAUAUUAAUAUAGUAUUAAUAUAUAAUUAUGCACAUAACUCAAAAUCCUGAUGUGUUACAGCAAUUCAGAUUUGGAAUCGGCAUACUUGAUUUAGUUUGGUACAGCACUAUCUGUCUGGGUAGCAGAAAAUAAUUUUUCUUUUUCUCCCUCCCCCCAGUGUAAUCUACAUGUUAUAGAAAGAUAUGUGAGCUUUCCAGAGAUUUGCUGGUUGUCAGUGUUAAGCUAAACUGGACUGUUCCUUUUUGAUAACAUUGUGCUUGGUGAUGUUUUGCUGAAUUUGUUGUAAGAGUCAGUCAUACCAUGUGUUAGUGGAGUAUUUAAGUUUUAUUUAUAAGAGAGAACGUUGCUCCACCAUCGCUGUGAUGUAAGGGCCUGUCUUAAUGAAAAUAUUCUGAACAAAUGGAUGUGUUGAAUUCCUCUUCCCUCCUCUCACUCUCCUGCCCUCAGCAGGUCUCAUUCUAGUGAACUUACAUUUAUGGCGACAUCUAAUCAUAAAGUUUAUUGCUCAAAACCAGCAACAAUCAAUGAAAUGAAAGUAGACAUGUAAAGAGAAGGCACCCAAGUGCUAAUUGAAAUAAUUUAUAAUGUUUGCCAUUCCAUUGGCCUGUUUUGUCAGUGGUGUCAUAACUCGAAUGACCAUCAGUUUGAAGACUUGUGAUAACUCAACAUGUUUGGCCUUUUUAAAAUUUGAACUAUAAAACACAGAUAUAUCUUAAUAGAUAUACUAUUAAACAUUUGAAGUAUGUUUACUUUUCUUUUAGACACCCUUUACAUCUUUAUAAAGAUUUGUUUUUAUGUACAAGGAGAUGGUGAGAUAAUAAAAAUGUUAUCGAUAUUAAUUAUGCACUCCACAUGUAAAAUGAGGAGUCUGUCAGAUUAAAUGCUGUUGUAUAUUUCUCAGUUUUGAAUUCCAAUGAUUGUACCAUUCACCUUCAUGGUAAAUCAAUGCAUGCUCCUUCACUCAUUCACUCACUUAUCUUGCAAAUAUGGCCAUGUGCCAAAUAAACAAAUCAAUUUUUACACUUACCAAAAAGAAGGUUGUUCACAACAAGAAUAAUAUCAAUGGGUAAAUACAAUUGGAAUAAACAAUAAAUUUGAUUCAUAUUUGGCACUGACUCCAUAUUUCUUCUCCUUCUUUGAUGAUAUUUCAAUAUCAAUUUACUAUCUGUAUGAAUUUUAAAAUAAAUAUAUCUAUGAAGAGGUCAAA